rnacentral:rRNA from 1 species
UAGCCUACGGGGCGCAGCAGUGGGGAAUAUUGCACAAUGGAGGGAACUCUGAUGCAGCGACGCCGCGUGAGUGAAGAAGUAAUUCGUUAUGUAAAGCUCUAUCAGCAGGGAAGAAAGUGACGGUACCUGACCAAGAAGCCCCGGCUAACUACGUGCCAGCAGCCGCGGUAAUACGUAGGGGGCAAGCGUUAUCCGGAUUUACUGUGUGUAAAGGGAGCGUAGACGGUUAUGUAAGUCUGGAGUGAAAGCCCGGGGCCCAACCCCGGGACUGCUUUGGAAACUGUGUAACUGGAGUACAGGAGGGG